CCAGUCCUUUGUGUUGCGGGAGGCAGCUGACAAGGAUGGCGGAGAAAUGUUAUGUUCCUGGCCCCCCUGGAUGGUGCCAGAUGGUGUGCCUUCUGUUUCCUCUACGGAAAUCUAGCCAUGGAAGGGAGCUGGUUGAAGUUUGCAUCCUCUGUGGUGUUAGCCAGGAACCACUAUGAGCAAGUCUGCAAGAAAGUUUAAGGAAGAAAGAUGUCUUUGAUUUUGCAUUUUCUUUACUCUGAUACUUGAAGAAAGUGAGGCUUAGAGGAUGCCUUCUACACCAUUAGAAACUUCUCAGUUGCCAUUAUGCACACUCACUUGAACAGUCAGUGCUUAUGGUGGAGUGCCCAGUGGCGCGUUGUGUUCAUGACUGCAUCCUGACGUGAUGGCCCCCUGUAUUCAAGUUGGGCAUGAAGUGGACAACAUGAUUUUAAUUCUGUGCCUUUGGAACAUAACCCUGUCUACAUCGGUCUACCUGAGAAAACUACACUGAAAAUUACUACAUUAAGAUUUGUUAGCAUGAAAACAUGACCAGUACCUGAGAACCCUGGUCGCCUUCCUUCAGCUGCAGCAACGCUAUCAGUGCCAUUUCUGCAGAUGACCUCACAACCUGGUUCUUCUCCUUGGUGCCAUUUACCAACAUGGGAAUCAGUGGCUUGGCAAUCUCCAUAGGUAGCAAGGAACCUCCAGAACCCGCUAAAUUCUCUGCUGUGUACUGGCAAGUUCGACACAUUCCCUGCUUCACCUCAUUGCUACUGUGGUUGAUCAGCUAGUAAAGAAAGUUUUGAAUUAAUUGCUAGAAAUUUGUUAGUCUCAAACUUAAGAUAUUGAUAAUUUACAUGAAAAUUCAUUAAGUUUGUGAUACUUCUCAGCCUUUGAAUUUCCAUUUCAGCUCCCUGCCUAUUAAAGUGAUUUCAGCUUUGUAUUUUAAUAAAUAGAUGCAUUGUACAUACACACGUCAAAAUCCAAAAAUGAUAAUAAAAGGAAUCAUUAUCCAUGCUUGGAAAAUAUUUCCUGGUAAGCAUAAGGUGGUCACCUUGGCAAAAGUCUGUAGAAGUCCAGAUGGCACAGGAUCUCCAGUAGAGAGUUGGUGGCUCAUGAAAAAGGCCACUCCAGACAGUGCAUUUUCUACAAGGGCCAAGCGGUCAGAUGAAAGGUAAGAGAGCAAGGUGGACGAGAUCUGGUCUGGAGUGGCCACCUCAAGGAUCUUUGAUGGAGCAGACUUUAAGACAGAGAAGAGAGCUGCCGAUCUCCCAUGGCGAACUGUCCAGUCUGCAUUACUGUUAUCCUCUGUAAUCAAACAUGCAUUACUGUUACGUGCUCCAGGUUCAUUCUAAUUCUUAAGUAUUGGUAACUACAAGAAAAAAAUUGUUCACUAUUGCACCACACAAAUGUGGUUAUAGUCAUGGGGAUGCUUAAUUUACCCAGGACAUGGUGGUUGAGGAGAGGCCGCAGCUCCUCUGAAGGCAGCCACGGCACCAAUACUCCCAGUGCCCCAGCAGCACACAGCCGGGUGGAGUCAUCAUCAUGGCACCCACCCUUUGAAAUUCAGGCUUACCUAGUGGGAGUAUCAUCAGCCGCCUUGACGGCAUUGUGGAGUUCAGUGAAGAGUGGGUCAGGCUUGGUGUGGAUGGUGAUGAGGUGAGCAAGGGCAGCCCCUGCACGCAGCCGCACACCUCGGCAAACCUAUCUCCAAGGAUCCUGAUGAGGGGACCUGUUACAUGUACCACUGAUGGCUUGAGUGCAUCUGAACUGGUAAGGCGGAUCACCUCUGACAAACCAUUAGCUGCUGCUUCCUUCAACUCUGGCUCCCCAUUAAGAACUGCUUCUCGGAAGAUGGGCAGAAUAGGCUGGAUGCCUGUUUGACAAACAAAAAACCUCAAAUACAUUAUCUAUCUACAUAUUGUAUCCAGUUAUACAUAUAAGUAUGUCACUUCUUAGAUGUUUACAAGCAGUCUUUAGCCUUUAGGAAUGUCUCCUUCACUCACUCACCUUUAGGAAGACAAAAACCAGGCAUAAGUUCUUCUCCCUUGAGGUCUGAUGCAGCAAAUUUAACGGCUUGUCGCACAUCUGCCACCAGAGAGCGCUGGUCUGCUGCAUCAAGACUCUGUUCAACAAUAUGUUGCAUCAAUAACCAUAAUGUCUAAUUACUAAAAAUAAAACAAAAAAAGGUAUGUUUAUUUGA
rnacentral:lncRNA from 1 species